CUGCGUCCGUAUACCUUCUCUUGGCGAUGAAAAGAUCUAAACGCUCCCCUCUUUGCCUCUACGAGUCUCAUUGAAAACCCAACUUUUAUCAGCAGAAAUCAAUCGUUCUACAUUCACAACAAAACUCAAUCCCUCUUGGAAGCUGCAGACCUGCAGUAGUGAUGAUGAUGGUGAUGAAGCACUCAAAAUCAAAUGGCCUUCAGUUUUCCCUACUAUCAAACACUUUUGCAAAAGAAAAGAAUAAUUCGAGUCUGACUAUCGGUGUUCGUGACCUUAUUGAGGUUAGAUGUGGAUGAUCGUGAUGCAUAAGGAUCAUCUUUACUCCAAGGGUGUCAUCAGGAAACAGUACCAUAGGUAUUCAGGUCUGUGGAAAUGAAAGGAGAAAAAAGGACGUAGUUGAAGCUGAAUACAACUUCAGCGGAUGGAACUGAAAGAGAACACAUAUGAAGUGGAAUUUGAAGAAAGAUAAUAAAAUGGUAGACAUAUUUAUUGGCAUUUGAUUGUCUGUUAGAGGAAUUAAGUCAACGUGUUGUCAGAAUUGGGAGCAAUCUACUGGGUGGUACUAAAUAGUCCUCCAAUUCCCAUAUGGAGAAGCAACUAAACUCAAUCUAGCUUCUUCAGCCUUAUUAAUUAAAUUGCGCAAAUCUACCCCUGAAUUUGAUGUAAAGAUUACAUUUGACGUCCUGCAAUCUUUUCAAUCAUUCCAUACACCGUAUGAGUUGAAGUUUGCUCAGGUAGCAUCGCAGUUUACUGGGGAUGGUGGUGGGCAUUGCUCAGGCUGUGGGUAAUGAUAUUGAAGCCAACAUCAAUAGCAACAGACGAUAAACAAAACAGUGCCAAGGGGUACGACCUACUCCGCGAAAGAAGUCCAGUGCCUCACAAAGAGUGUAUAGCUAUGGCUUCUGAGGUAAGCAUCAACUUGGUAGUGAUGUAGUUAUCUUGGUUGGUGGCCGAUGGUUUUGCAUUUCUAAUUGCUAGAACAGGGUCUCUGAUUGUUAGAAAAUGGUCUUAAUUCAUGGUAAAACAAAUGCAUGAUAGAGAAGGAACCAACACCCAGGUACCAAGAACUUCGUUAAAUAAAUGGACAGAAUUUUGCAUGAAUUCUGGUAACUCACUGGGACAGAAGCAGGGAAUUAUGGAAGAGGAUUUGGUGUUUAUCAUCCCAAAUGGGAGAGAUGAGGAGGUUUAGUUCUGCACAUUUUCCAACUAGAUUUUCCAAAGAAAUUUCUCUUGCAUUUGGUAUUUCCGGUGCUCAACAGACAGCUCACAAACCAAAAUGUUCAUUUAGAAAGUCCAAAUUCUCUGAUGGAGCAUUUGGUGCUUAUGAUCGCCACAUGUGGUAGCGAUAACAAAUCAUGUUAAUCUGAUCUUGCAUAUUACAGAUAUAUCACUGAUGAGAACAUUGGUGAGUAACAAUGUCCAGUUCAUAGAAAAACAUAGUAACUGCUUCUACCCACAUGAGAUACGAAACAGAACAACAACUUCUAAAUCCUACUCAAGCCUUCAUCUCGAACCAGUCCAAAUGAAAAACCGAGGUGCCUAGCAGGAAGUACGCGAGCCAAUAAUUUAUCACCACAAAGCGAGGCCUAUAAUUCAAGAUAUAUGAAGGAGUAGGAUAUGGAUAUGCAUGAAGUUUGUCAUGCUGUGACACAAGUUAUAAUAGCCUCAUGGUGCUUCGAGAUAUCAGGUGUUUAGUGGUGGAGAAGGUUGCUGAAUCCUUUGAGCUCCCAUGCAAGUAUUGCUCAUUUGCAAACGGAGAUAUUUUUUUCUUUCUAAAGUUAGUCAAGCAUAUGGCUGUGUAACUACAAUAUUUUACACUUAGGGAAAAUUAAUAUUUAUCCAUGCCGCACAUGGUGUAUAACGAAAAAAUGAAGACGACCAACUUUUACAUUACAAAUACUACUAAUAUACCAAAUUAAGCUCUGCUUCUUUUGGAGGUUGUUUAAUUAUCAAUUUUAUUUCAGGAUCAUAAUAUGUUGAAUUUCA